AUUGAACGCUGGCGGCAUGCUUUACACAUGCAAGUCGAACGGCAGCACGGGUGCUUGCACCUGGUGGCGAGUGGCGGACGGGUGAGUAAUACAUCGGAACGUGUCCAGAAGAGGGGGAUAACGCAUCGAAAGAUGUGCUAAUACCGCAUAUACUCUAAGGAGGAAAGCAGGGGAUCGAAAGACCUUGCGCUUUUGGAGCGGCCGAUGUCUGAUUAGCUAGUUGGUGGGGUAAGGGCCUACCAAGGCGACGAUCAGUAGUUGGUCUGAGAGGACGACCAGCCACACUGGGACUGAGACACGGCCCAGACUCCUACGGGAGGCAGCAGUGGGGAAUUUUGGACAAUGGGCGCAAGCCUGAUCCAGCAAUGCCGCGUGAGUGAAGAAGGGCCUCGGGUUGUAAGUACGUCGUUUCUAGUCGUAGAAGAAAAGGACGUAGC
rnacentral:rRNA from 1 species